CGGAGAAGAAUGUGUCCUACCAGACUACGAGCUUCCUGCGCAUGCGCACUGCUGGGCUGUAACCGGAACCUGCGCACUGCGGUCUCUGACUGCGGCAUGCGCAGUGCAGGUUGUACCUGGAGUUAGACGGAGAAGCGAGAAAUAAUCGAGUCAGGUUGAGUCCUGGAGCGGCUGGGUUACUGGAAGUGGAAGAUUGACAGAUGGGAAACUCAAUCCAAACAUCACAUGAAGAUCUGACAGAGUCCCUCAAUUCAUGAGGACCUGAACAUCAUCGCCCUUUGAAUGUGGAAAGGAAAAGGAACCAGUCCGGUACAUCUCCUCUGCACCUUCUCAAGGACCUUCACAUACUUCCUAA